rnacentral:misc_RNA from 1 species
AGCGGCGACGCGUACAGCGAAUAAACCAACAUACUAACGACCGUCACGGCAGCAAAAAAAAGCGAAUACCGAAAAAGCGAAAGGAAAGCACCGUCUUCACAUCUCGGCGCGUGUGUGUCUCCUUCCCUUCCCGUUUUUGUCUCCCUCCCCUCCUCCCCUCCUCCUAUUUCCUUGUUUGUUUGUGUUUACGCUCUGUUAUCCGUCUCCGUACGGUCACACACGACCUACACACACACCAAAUACGUAUAUAUAUAUAUAUACGUACAUACACGCAGAACUAAACCGGCCUACCGACCCGACCCGCGCACGCAUAGCCGCCCUCUUGCCCUUCCUUCACCUGCAAGAGUGAGGUGUGUCUUGUCUCUCUUCGUCAUUGACCGUCGUUGCAUGUGUUGUGGUGCUUUUCUUCGUUGUGUGCGUGUGCAUUCUUGUGCGUAGUCUCCGUCGUUGCCCUUCACUUUUUUGUCGCUCCCUCUGCGCUCUCCAUAGGCUCCCACCCCACCCCAAGUUCAGUUCCUCUUCCUUUUCUCCUGCGCCUUUCCCUUCCUUUAGCACGCACACUGGCACAUAUACACCCGACUGUGUACGACUUCCCUCCGCGCCGUACGGGCGACUCUCCUUUGUUUUUUCCGUUGUUGCGCAAAAAACAAAGGCGAAACCACGAAGAGACCAAAGAAGGAGCGACGAGAAGAGCGGCAGCUGCGCCGAGGCGCAAUCACCUGCGGACCCUCGGCGUUUCCCCUCCCUUCUCCUUCGGCACACGCACGGGAAUAUUUUUGCGCGUACGCGAGGGGCGCCCGCCGCCAUCGUGCCGGUCGACUCCUGAUUAAAGGCAAGCGAAACAAGUGAGGCUGCAUUGAAGCAGAAGGAAACCCCUGCGAAGCGACUAGUGUUGGGUGCAACGGUGGCGCGCGGGUGCGGACAGCCGUUUCUUCGUUUUUUUUUUGCGGUUUCACGGGCACGUUGGGCUGCUGAGCAAAAAGUACACAUAUACAUACAUAUACAUCUAUAUAAAGUGUGUGUGCCAAAACGCAUCAACGAGGCCCACCCACUCACUCACCCGGUGGCUCACCUACGCAAACGCAAAGGCAGUGACUACCAUGGACUCGCGACGGCAUCGGGUAUCUCCGCUUGUGGUGCCGUCGUCGGCGCACUCGCGCACCUUCUCGAAGAUGACAGUCACCAGCGCCAACCUGGUGAAUGUCAGCGACACAAAUCUGUCCCUGACCCCAACUUGCACAAGCACGAAUGAGCGCCACCCACUGCAUGGAGCGCAUACGCCCCACCGUCGCGCCUCCAUCCUCGAGAAGCAGCAGCCCACCCCGCGCGGCUCCUUGCAGUGGCCGUCGACGCACCGCUCCUUCUCCAGUGCCGCAGCCACGCGCGACAGCUCGCGGCACUCGCAGGUGACCGACCGUAUGAACGCGAUUGGCGUGAGCGUUUCCGCCUUGAGCCAGCACGGUCGAGCCUGCAGCAGUGCCUCUCACACGCCCAUGUCGUCGCACGACGAGCGCAGCGAGCACUACUCCUCCGCUUUCAGCGGUGCCGGUGGCCGGCGAGGCUACAGCCUCGGCCGCCACUCAACGGCGCCGCCGCUGGUGGAUUUUGGAGACUCUCCUUCCUUCAGCCGACACAGCGCCGCGCACAGCGUGUGCACGACGGCGCUGUGCACGCCACGCGACGGCACCGCGACGUCCUCACACGGCCCUGUGGCGUCGCCGUCCAUGACUACCGAGGGCAACAGCGCCAGCAUGUCGGGCCCUCCCCCGCUGUACGACUUUGAGGCGGAGGCGCACCAGCUAACGCGCGAGCAGCUGGAGGAGCGGGUGUUGCAGAUGCGGGCGGCCAACGUUGUGCUGCAAACCUCGGUGCUUCGACUGCGUGAGUCCCUAGCGACUCUGCAGGAGGGCAUGCGCGCUAACUACGCUGACCUAGAGCGACGGCAGGAGAGCAUAGCGAACAUGCUGCUGCGACGCCUGGAGGCCACGAAGCGACGUCGUGGCAAGCUGGUCGCCCACCUGUGUAGCGUGGAGGCCGAGAAGGCGUCGCAGGAGACGAAGCUGCGCAACACCACGCAAAACAUCAAGGAACUGUCGAAGCAUCUGAAACAGGAGGAGCAAGAAAUCGCCAACCGCCUGCAGCGCCGUCUGGAGCGACUGCACGCUCAGCGAAAGCAGCUCGACCAUGCCCUGGAGGAGCAGACAAACUCGCUGCAGCAGCUGGAGCAGCUCGUGCAGGAGGUGGAAGAGAUGGACCAGAGCGACUCAGCGGAGACGAGCGCCGGCUGCCUGGCCACUCAAAGCGCAACGGCGACGCCGGCACUCCCCGCUGCACCCGCGAGCAGCGCCACAGCGACCACCAGCGGCAUCUGUGUCCCCGUGCACGAGCGUAGCAGCAGUCGCAUGAGCGCGGCGAGCUCGACCACCGCCACCACCACGGCCGACGUCGCCUACGACCCUACUGCCAUGAUACGGUACUUGGAGGAGGAGAUCGCGGCAGCCGAGAGCCUGCGCACGGAGGCGCUGUCCAAGGCGGAGAAGUACGUCGCCACGCGCGAGCGGCUGGAGCGGCGCCUUGCGCGGGAGAAGCAGCAGCGGGCCGAGCAGCAUUCUCGCACACAGGAACUUCGUCAGCAGCUGCAGGAUGCAAGCACGGCUGUGAAUGAGAAGGAGGCAGCGCAAGCGUUGACGAUGGAGAUGGAGGUGGAUAGGCACCUGAGCAGCUCUCGCUUCGGCGGCGACCUCAUUUCAAGUGCCAGCAGCACGUGCGCCACGCCUCAAUUGCGCACCGUGAGCGCGGUAGCUAGUCGAGGUAACUCGGCGUCGCCUGGUGUCAGCCGGCCUUGUCCCGGGCCCGCUCUGCAGGACGUCGACGGACGCCCGCAAGACCCGUUUAUGUUGCCGGCCAGCAGCGCCUGCGGCGCUCAGGCGAGUUCCACGAGCCACCCCGGCCACUUCAGAGGCGCUAGCGGCGUGUCGGCCAGCAUGUCAGGCUGCACGUCGCUAGGCGAUCCCCCGGCCGCCGCGCCUGCGAUAGAGGCACUGAACCGUCUCUCCUCUUCAACACCACUGAACGCGCCCGCUAGUCGUGAUGAGACAACGAUAUCUUCCGAGGGCAGCCAGCACGCGCGGCUGCUUCUGCAGGACACCUCCUGCGUGGCCGCCCCGCGUCCGGCGAUGCCCGCAGAGAGCACGCUGCCGUCCGCCUCGUCCAUGCCCGACGCCCAAGGCCCCAUGCUGUAGCACCUCCGCUGCCUUUAAAAUGCUAGACUGCGCCUGUGUGUGCAUCAGUACCUGUGCUGUCAUCUACAUGCUGCUCCUGGGCUUCGGUGAGCGAGUGCUUGUGGUCGGUGGAGUGAGGAAAGAACUGGGUGCAUAGGCCGAUCUGUCACCGCCAGCCGCUGCUGACCUCCUCAUCUUUUCAUUCCUGAGGAGGAGGAGGGGAGAAGGGCUCCUCUUGGGCGUUGUCAUGCCCUCGAGGCAACGCGCACCCACUCACCGCGGUCACGCUAGAGAAGGUGGAGGGUGGGCUGUAAUGAUGGCAGCAGUGAGAGGUUCAUGCAGCACGCCCUCCCUUCACCCAACGUCUCCCGAUGUCUCCGAGGCGCACUUGAAGACACACACGCAAUGCCUAGCCACCCUUGUUUGCACAGGCGUAUUCUCCCGGUGGUGCUUGCGUGGUGGCGGUUUCCCCUUCCCUCCCUCCGCUGUCUUUCUCUAUCUUCCUUUCUAGUCAUCUUUUCUUUAUGUUGUGCCAACUAAGCCUUGAAGCCACUACCGCCACCGAUGUACACGCUCACACACACACACACACACGCGCGCACCGUAUGUCAUCUGGAGCACCACCACUGUGUUGCGGGUGUCUCCCACUCAUUCCUUUGUAUUGCCCUUUAUUUUUCUUUAGCCGCUCUACUCCCUCCUUCCCUCUCUCUCUUUCCUUCCCCGGUUGCCUGCCUGUAUGUGCCUGUGUGUGUGUGUGUGUGACCCUCCUUCAUCAUGAAUGAAGCCCAUUUUUCCUUUUCUCUGCCACUCUCUUCCCCUCCCUCUCCUCCCUUCCCUCUCUUGUCUUCGUCAUUUACCUCUUCCUCUAUGACGUAUGUGAGUGUAUGAGUGUACGUACGCACCCACACACACCACGUCUCCGGCCUUAACCCAGUCGGUGCGUUGCGCGAGUGCUCACGGCACCUCUUUCUCCUUCUCUUCUUAUACGCUGAAGGUGAUCUCUCUCUGUCGGGUGUCUUUCCGGGUAUCGGUUCGAUGUUGUGUAGGAGCCCGUUGCUGGUGUGUGUUGUGUGUGUGUGUGUAACUGAACGGGUACCGCGUUGCAUGUUGCCUGUGCAUGCUGUUGUCGAGGACUGUAUCCGUCCAUCCGCCCACCCGCCGCUGUGCCGACUGCCCGCCCACCGUCCCCCAUCUCUCUUCUCUCCUCUCCUCGUCUCUCUGCCUUUUCAUGUGUGUUUCGAGUCUGGUGGCACUCCCUCCCCUGCCCCCUCUCGGGUGCGGCAGGGGGGACGAGAUAGGAGUCGGCAAGAAGGGGAAUACGUGAGGGACUGCGGAGGGCGGAGCAGCGAGCGCGCACGAGCGCGAGCGCGAGGGGGAGACGGACAAACAACAAAUAGCCAGCGGUCGCAACCGGAGACGAGAGGAGAGCGGCGUGCUUUCUUCUGCCUCCUCUCCUCCUCACCGCCACGCCAGCUGACGUGCGGAUGGCCGGGGCAUCAGCCAGUCGUGCGGAAUGCGCGAGGCUUUUGCACAUUGUGAAGGUGGCGGCGAGAAAUAGAGUCGGAAGUCUUCUCAUGCGUCGCGCUGCUGGUCAGCAGCGCAGUCGGCACUGCUUUUCGGGUGGUGGAAAGGCUUCACAUUUUGGUGGUUCUCUCACCAUUCCCGUCAGGGCCGCGGCUCUCGUGCCUCCGCCUCUUCCUCGCCUUUCUCUCUCCCCCUCUCACAAGGGCGACGCCCGUGAGCUUCGCGUCCGCCAUGAUGCAACGAGCGCUGUUUUCGUGCCCCUCUCUCAUCUCUCUGCUGAGUCGGGGGUUAUUAGAAAUCCCGUUUUCAAUUUCGCAACACCCCGUCUCUCUCUCUCCCUCCCCUGCCUUCUUCUCUUCACGUCUGCCCAAAUCACGGUCUACUCACCGCAUUCAACGACAUACACACACCUCGCCGGCAUCCCUCCGACAACGCACUUGUACGCGGCCCGCGCGCCUCCGUCUCUGCGGUGGUGCUUCUCUCUCUCCCCUGGACUUCUCCCGUUCUCUGCGAUCUACGCGAUAG